rnacentral:rRNA from 1 species
CAAUAGCGUAUAUUAAAGUUGUUGCAGUUAAAAAGCUCGUAGUUGGAUUUGUGGCUGUCACGGGCGGCCUAUCACUUAGUGUUAGUGCUUGCCUGUGUCGCCAUCCUUGGGUGGAGCCCGUGUGGCAUUAGGUUGUCGUGCGGGGGAUGCCCAUCGUUUACUGUGAGAAAAUUAGAGCGUUCAAAGCAGGCUUAUGCCGUUGAAUAUGUUAGCAUGGAAUAAUAAGAUAGGACCUCGGUACUAUUUUGUUGGUUUGCGCACCGAGGUAAUGAUUAAUAGGGACAGUUGGGGGUAUUCGUAUUUCAUUGUCAGAGGUGAAAUUCUUGGAUUUCUGAAAGACGAACUACUGCGAAAGCAUUUACCAAGGAUGUUUUCAUUAA